rfam:Sorangium cellulosum So0157-2, complete genome.
GUCACCGUGACGGAACGGCAUACGUGGCAGGCUGAGAUCCUGCGCCCUUCGGGGUAUGUGGGUUCGAGUCCCACCGGUGACA